CCUACGGGAGGCAGCAGUAAGGAAUAUUGGGCAAUGGAGGCAACUCUGACCCAGCCAUGCCGCGUGAAGGAUGAAGGCCCUAUGGGUUGUAAACUUCUUUUGUACGGGAAUAAACCUGGUUACGUGUAACCAGUUGAAUGUACCGUAAGAAUAAGCACCGGCUAACUCCGUGCCAGCAGCCGCGGUAAUACGGAGGGUGCAAGCGUUAUCCGGAUUUAUUGGGUUUAAAGGGAGCGUAGGCGGGAUUGUAAGUCAGUGGUGAAAGCCCGUAGCUCAACUACGGAACUGCCAUUGAUACUGCAGACCUAGAGUACACUUGAAGUGGGCGGAAUGUGUCAUGUAGCGGUGAAAUGCUUAGAUAUGACACAGAACACCAAUUGCGAAGGCAGCUCACUAAAUUGUAACUGACGCUGAGGCUCGAUAGCGUGGGGAUCAAACAGGAUUAGAUACCCUGGUAGUCCACGCCGUAAACGAUGAUUACUCGAUGUUGGCGAUACACUGUCNGCGUCUGNGCGAAGACGAUUAAGUAAGUACCUACCGUCGGGUAGGUACGGUACGACGACGACGUAGAACGUACGAACGAAGUUAGUACGGACGUAGAGACGUUAGCCGACGGACGACGACGAGGGAGGAGG
rnacentral:rRNA from 1 species